CGAGUAUACGUAUCGCCUGCGCCUAGCUAGCUGACAAUAACGCGUCGCGACGAUAUCGACAAAGUCGGAGAAUGGAUUGAAACUAAAGAGCUGAAAGAAGUUAACAACAUGAAGCAGAAAGUCCCAUGCAGGAUGAUGCUUCUCUACAGUGGGUGAUGAAGGCAUGCUGGUUUACAAACUCAGGAGAGGAACAAAGAAGAGAUAUUGGCGGGAUCAUAUCUAGAGAUGCGG